GACGAACGCUGGCGGCGUGCCUAACACAUGCAAGUCGAACGGAAAGGCCCUGCUUGUGCCGGGUGCUCGCGUGGCGCGGGGGUGAGUAACACGUGAGUAACCCGCCCUUGACGUUGGGAUAACCUCAGGCAACUGCGGCUACUACCGGAUAGGAGCUCCUGCUGCAUGGGGGGGGUUGGACAGUUUCGGCGGAUGGGGAUGGACUCGCGGCUUACCAGCUUGUUGGUGGAGUAGCGGCAUACCCAGGCAUAGACGGAUAGCCGGCCUGGGAGGGUAACCGGCCACAAUGCGACUGAGAGACGGCCCAGACUCCAACAGGGGGCAACAGGGGAGAACAUGGCACAAUGAGCGGAAGUCUGAUGCAGCAACCCCGCGAGCGGGAAGACCGUCUUCGUGUGGUGAACCGCUUUCGCCUGUGACGAAGCGUGGUUGACGGUAAUGGGUAAAGAAGCACCGGCUAACUACGUG
rnacentral:rRNA from 1 species